AGUGAACGCUGGCGGUAGGCCUAACACAUGCAAGUAGAACGGCAGCACAGUAAGAGCUUGCUCUUACGGGUGGCGAGUGGCGGACGGGUGAGGAAUACAUCGGAAUCUACUUUUUCGUGGGGGAUAACGUAGGGAAACUUACGCUAAUACCGCAUACGACCUACGGGUGAAAGCAGGGGAUCUUCGGACCUUGCGCGAUUGAAUGAGCCGAUGUCGGAUUAGCUAGUUGGCGGGGUAAAGGCCCACCAAGGCGACGAUCCGUAGCUGGUCUGAGAGGAUGAUCGGCCACACUGGAACUGAGACACGGUCCAGACUCCUACGGGAGGCAGCAGUGGGGAAUAUUGGACAAUGGGCGCAAGCCUGAUCCAGCCAUACCGCGUGGGUGAAGAAGGCCUUCGGGUUGUAAAGCCCUUUUGUUGGGAAAGAAAAGCAGCAGGUUAAUACCCCGCUGUUCUGACGGUACCCAAAGAAUAAGCACCGGCUAACUUCGUG
rnacentral:rRNA from 1 species